rnacentral:rRNA from 1 species
GUGGCAGACGGGUGAGUAACAUGUGGGUAUCUACCCUUUGGCCUGGAAUAACACGAGGAAACUUGUGCUAAUACCGGAUAAGUCUUUACGGAGAAAGCUUUAUGCACCAUUGGAUGAGCCCGCACUUGAUUAGUUUGUUGGUAGGGUAAUGGCCUACCAAGACUAUGAUCAAUAGCUGAUUUGAGAGGAUGAUCAGCCACAUUGGGACUGAGACACGGCCCAAACUCCUACGGGAGGCAGCAGUGGGGAAUCUUGCACAAUGGAGGAAACUCUGAUGCAGCGAUGCCGCGUGAGUGAAGAAGGCCUUUGGGUUGUAAAGCUCUUUCGUCGGGGAAGAAAAUGACUGUACCCGAAUAAGAAGGUCCGGCUAACUUCGUGCCAGCAGCCGCGGUAAUACGAAGGGACCUAGCGUAGUUCGGAAUUACUGGGCUUAAAGAGUUCGUAGGUGGUUGAAAAAGUUGGUGGUGAAAUCCCAGAGCUUAACUCUGGAACUGCCAUCAAAACUUUUCAGCUAGAGUGUGAUAGAGGAAAGCAGAAUUUCUAGUGUAGAGGUGAAAUUCGUAGAUAUUAGAAAGAAUACCAACUGCGAAGGCAGCUUUCUGGAUCAUUACUGACACUGAGGAACGAAAGCAUGGGUAGCGAAGAGGAUUAGAUACCCUCGUAGUCCAUGCCGUAAACGAUGUGUGUUAGACGUUGGAAAUUUAUUUUCAGUGUCGCAGGGAAACCGAUAAACACACCGCCUGGGGAGUACGACCGCAAGGUUAAAACUCAAAUGAAUUGACGGGGACCCGCACAAGUAGUGGAGCAUG